GACGAACGCUGGCGGCGUGCCUAACACAUGCAAGUCGAACGGAGAUACAUUGUAGCAAUACGAUGUAUCUUAGUGGCGGACGGGUGAGUAACGCGUGAGCAACCUACCUUACAGAGGGGGAUAACACACCGAAAGGUGUGCUAAUACCGCAUGACAUGUGGGGAUGGCAUCAUCCUUACAUCAAAGAUUUUAUCGCUGUAAGAUGGGCUCGCGUCCGAUUAGAUAGUUGGCGGGGUAAUGGCCCACCAAGUCGACGAUCGGUAGCCGGACUGAGAGGUUGAACGGCCACAUUGGGACUGAGACACGGCCCAGACUCCUACGGGAGGCAGCAGUGGGGAAUAUUGCGCAAUGGGGGAAACCCUGACGCAGCAACGCCGCGUGAAGGAAGAAGGCCUUCGGGUUGUAACUUUUGUCUUUGGUGACGAUAAUGACGGUAGCCAGAGAGGAAGCCACGGCUAACUACGUGCCAGCAGCCGCGGUAAUAGUCACGUCGC
rnacentral:rRNA from 1 species